rnacentral:rRNA from 1 species
UAACAGGAUUCCCCUAGUAACUGCGAGUGAAGCGGGAAAAGCUCAAAUUUAAAAUCUGGCGGUCUUCUGGCCGUCCGAGUUGUAGUCUGGAGAAGCGUUUUCCGCGUUGGACCGUGUACAAGUUUCCUGGAACGGAGCGUCAUAGAGGGUGAGAAUCCCGUCUUUGACACGGAUCCCAAUGCUUUGUGAUGCGCUCUCAAAGAGUCGAGUUGUUUGGGAAUGCAGCUCAAAAUGGGUGGUGAAUUCCAUCUAAAGCUAAAUAUUGGCGAGAGACCGAUAGCGAACAAGUACCGUGAGGGAAAGAUGAAAAGCACUUUGGAAAGAGAGUUAAACAGUACGUGAAAUUGUUGAAAGGGAAACGCUUGAAGUCAGUCGCGUCGGCCGGGACUCAGCCUUGCAUCCGCUUGGUGUACUUUCCGGUCGACGGGCCAGCAUCAGUUUUGACCGCGAGAUAAAGGCGGAGGGAAUGUGGCUCUCUCGGGAGUGUUAUAGCCCUUCGUCAGAUGUCGCGGUUGGGACUGAGGAACUCAGCACGCCUUUAUGGCCGGGGCUCGCCCACGUACGUGCUUAGGAUGCUGGCGUAAUGGCUUUAAACGACCCGUCUUGAAACACGGACCAAGGAGUCUAACAUGCCUGCGAGUGUUCGGGUGGAAAACCCGUGCGCGCAAUGAAAGUGAAAGUUGGGAUCCCUGUCGUGGGGUGCACCGACGCCCGGCCCAGACCUUUUGUGACGGAGCUGCGGUAGAGCAUGUAUGUUGGGACCCGAAAGAUGGUGAACUAUGCCUGAAUAGGGUGAAGCCAGAGGAAACUCUGGUGGAGGCUCGUAGCGAUUCUGACGUGCAAAUCGAUCGUCAAAUUUGGG